rnacentral:misc_RNA from 1 species
GAUGAAGAACGCAGCGAAAUGCGAUAAGUAAUGUGAAUUGCAGAAUUCAGUGAAUCAUCGAAUCUUUGAACGCAUCUUGCGCUCCUUGGUAUUCUGAGGAGCAUGCCUGUUUGAGUGUCAUUAAAUUCUCAACUACACUGACUUUGAAUUGGUGUGGCUUGGAUUUGGGGGGAAAAUUGUUGUGGGCUUUUUGUAUAGUCUGCUCCCCUGAAAUUGAUUAGCGGUACCUUUGUGGAACUGUCUACAGGUGUGAUAAUUAUCUACAUCUUAGACAUCUGCUGGAAUGCUGCUUUCUAAACCUUACUUGUAUUGACAAUCUUGACCUCAAAUCAGGUAGGACUACCCGCUGAACUUAAGCAUAUCAAUAAGCGGAGCA